rnacentral:rRNA from 1 species
CACGUAGGGUGCGAGCGUUGUCCGGAAUUAUUGGGCGUAAAGAGCGCGUAGGCGGUGUGUCGCGUCGGCCGUGAAAACCUGCAGCUUAACUGUGGGCGUGCGGUCGAUACGGGCAUCACUGGAGUUCGGCAGGGGAGACUGGAAUUCCUGGUGUAGCGGUGAAAUGCGCAGAUAUCAGGAGGAACACCGGUGGCGAAGGCGGGUCUCUGGGCCGAUACUGACGCUGAGGAGCGAAAGCGUGGGGAGCGAACAGG